GUGAUUCACCAGUUCCCAUACAAUGAUCAGAGAUAUUAAUAUAUUAUUCAACUCUUUCAAUAUUAUUGAAUAAACCAACUGUAAAGUCUUCUGUUGAAAACAAAGAAAUAGCUUCACUGGAAAGACUUGUUGAGAAAAUGUGAUCUGCUGCACAACACUGCGGUCAACUCUAGACAUUGUCUUCACUUCUUCAGUAUCAAAGUUGAGCUGCUGAGUCUAGUUAAACCCGCUGGAUUAGCUCCACAGCCAUCUGGGUGGUCCUUUACUUCUGAUUGCAAACUCCCAGAGCAGACGGUACAGCUGAAUCUUCAGUACUCGGGAAAGAUUAAUUUAUUUUGGGGUCCAUGGCUCACCUCCCAGCAUCCGAGACUUACCAGCAAGGAAUGUCUUCACAAUUGGUUUCCACUGCUCCUGAAUAUCAUUUUUCUGAAUACUGUGAUUGGUUUCCUAUAACUUCAAUCAUUGUCUGUUUAUCAUAGGUUGAUCCUGUUCUAAUUUUUUCUGUUCAUUGUUGUUGCUACUUUCAAGUGGGCAGCAGCAGAGAUUCCAGAAAGAGAACUGGAAUGAAUGAUUACAAGACAUUACCUGAGGAAAUUCUGCCUUGCAUAAAACUGAUAAUUCUGGCUUUCAUUUUUUUUUUCACAUACAUAAAAGGAUGUUGGUCAAAAAAUAUCCAGUGAAGCAGUUGACAAGUUGUGCUUGCAGCUUUCCACUCCCUCUUUGUGUCAACAUGAUUUAAAGAAAGAAAAUCAGUUGACAAACAGAGUGUCAAGACUGUACCUCCUAAAAGCCACUGAAUGACUACGUAAUGUUGAUGUCUAAAACCCAUUUCCAAGUUACAAGUUACCUUACUACAGAUGUUGCUGAGAUUUUAAGUGUGAUUUGCAAUGCAUGCCUCCAGCAUCUAGAGGCUGGUGCAUUCUGCAGUGCUGAAAGGAGUCCAGAAAUGCUCAGCAGAUGUCUGAAAAGGAAUUCACUUCCUUCCAAAAGAAGAGCACUAAACAUGUUCAUGUCUAGUUCUACAAAUAUCAGUAUGACUGGAAAAUGAUCAACGGUCAUUGACAG
rnacentral:lncRNA from 1 species